CAGGAAUAACUCAAGUCAUCUGUACUGGAAAUCAAUUUGCUGAAAUUACUGAAAAAGCAGUUCUUGAAGUUGAAGAAAAGGAGGUUCACGCCUUGACACGGAGUGCAGUCCUUCCUCCAGGCCCUCUGGACACACCUCCCUAGCAUUCUCUGGGAAAGAUGCGGCAGCUUAAAGGGAAGCCCAAGAAGGAGACGUCCAAGGACAAGAAGGAGCGGAAGCAAGCCAUGCAGGAAGCUCGGCAGCAGAUCACUACGGUGGUGCUGCCCACGCUGGCUGUGGUUGUGCUCCUGAUUGUGGUGUUUGUUUACGUGGCCACACGCCCCACCAUCACUGAGUGAGCACUGUGGCUGGCCACGGGCCUCGUCGGCAGGGAGAGGAGGCGCGGGAAGGGAAGCAAGCAAAAAAUGGCUUUUGUGUUCAGAGGCAUUCAUGCCGCUGAGCUCCGAGCUGGAGCGCUGUGUCUUCUCUGGGCUUUGACUUGAUUAUACAGUUUCUCCACUUUUCUUGGAAGGGAAUAGGGAACGUUUUAUCAGUGACCGUGCCAUACACCUUCUGGUCCACUUCAUGUGCCUUUCAGACUUCAAAGCAGUGUGUGUCUUUUUUUUCUCUCUAAAACCAACAUGCUGCUCUACCUGUGAGGGAGGAGUCUUGGGUCAGGAAGAGCUGGAAUCACCUCAUCCCAUUAUUUGGAACAUGACUUUACUACACCUGUUCGAAGUUUCCAAAGGGACUGUAUUUCUUCUCUGUGCUUAAUGUGGUUUGAAAUAUGUUGACGCAAAGUGAAAUAUUUAUUUUUUUGAAUAAAGGAGAUAAUAGCCUUA